rnacentral:rRNA from 1 species
CUAAUACAUGCAAGUCGAGCGAAUGGAUUAAGAGCUUGCUCUUAUNAAGUUAGCGGCGGACGGGUGAGUAACACGUGGGUAACCUGCCCAUAAGACUGGGAUAACUCCGGGAAACCGGGGCUAAUACCGGAUAACAUUUUGAACCGCAUGGUUCGAAAUUGAAAGGCGGCUUCGGCUGUCACUUAUGGAUGGACCCGCGUCGCAUUAGCUAGUUGGUGAGGUAACGGNUCACCAAUGNAACGAUGCGUANCCGACCUGANAGGGUGAUCGGCCACACUGGGACUGANACACGGCCCANACUCCUACNGGAGGCAGCANNAGGGAAUCUUCCNCAAUGGACGAAAGUCUGACNGAGCAACNCCGCGUGANUGAUGAAGGCUUUCNGGUCGUAAAACUCUGUUGUUAGGGAAGAANAANUGCUANUUGAAUAANCUGGNNCCUUGACGGNACCUAACC